rnacentral:rRNA from 1 species
AACGAACGCUGGCGGCAUGCCUAACACAUGCAAGUCGAACGAGACCUUCGGGUCUAGUGGCGCACGGGUGCGUAACGCGUGGGAACCUGCCCUUAGGUUCGGAAUAACUCCCCGAAAGGGGUGCUAAUACCGGAUAAUGUCUUCGGACCAAAGAUUUAUCGCCUUUGGAUGGGCCCGCGUUGGAUUAGCUAGUUGGUAGGGUAAAAGCCUACCAAGGCGACGAUCCAUAGCUGGUCUGAGAGGAUGAUCAGCCACACUGGGACUGAGACACGGCCCAGAAUCCUACGGGAGGCAGCAGUGGGGAAUAGUGGACAAUGGGCGAAAGCAUGAUCCAGCAAUGCCGCGUGAGUGAUGAAGGCCGUAGGGUUGUAAAGCUCUUUUACCCGGGAUGAUAAUGACAGUACCGGGAGAAUAAGCUCCGGCUAACUCCGUG